rnacentral:sRNA from 1 species
UAGGCCAAGAAGUCUCACAGGAAAAUAAAUAUCAGUUUCUUUUUUUAUUAAAAAAAGGUUUUUUUGGCUGGAUGUGUGGCUCACACCUGUAAUCCCAGCACUUUGGAAGGCUGAGGUGGGCAGAUUGCUUGAGCUCAGAAGUUCGAGACCAGCCUGGGCAACAUGGUAAAACCUCGUCUCUACAAAAAAAUACAAAAAAUUAGCCAGGCAUGGUGGCACGAGCCUAUAGUCCCAGCUACUCAGGUGGCUGAGGUGGGAAGAUGGCUUGAGCCCCUGAAGCAGAAGUUUCAGUGAGCCAAGAUCAUGCCACUGUACUCCAGCCUGGGUGAGAGAGCCAGACCCUGUCUUAGGAAAAAGAAAAAAGUUGUUUUUCUAGAGAUGGGAUCUUGAUACAUUACCCAGGCUGAUCUCAAACUCCUGACCUCAAGUGAUUCUGCUGCCUUGGCUUCCCAAAAUGUAGAGAGUACAAACAUGGGCUACCACACCCAGCCAGAAGUGCCAGCUAAUAAUUUUUUUUUCUUCUUCAAACCAGCACAACAGAUUUGUUUUGGACUGUAAAGACAAAGAGCCUGAUGUACUGUUUGUGGGAGACUCCAUGGUGCAGUUAAUGCAGCAAUAUGAGAUAUGGCGAGAGCUUUUUUCCCCACUUCAUGCACUGAAUUUUGGAAUUGGGGGAGAUACAACAAGACAUGUUUUGUGGAGACUAAAGAAUGGAGAACUGGAGAAUAUUAAGCCUAAGGU